CGUCGGAAAUAAAUGACAAUAAUUGACUAAAAUUCUGGCGAUUACAACUUCUGUUUCUACAGUUUGAGGUUCUGUUAGUAAUUUUUAAAUGUCAGAAAUGUUUCAAGCAAAUUUUUUACCAAAAGACAAGAAAUAAAGCCGAUAAGGACACGGAAAAAUACUGCUAGACGGGAAAAAUUUAGUUAAUGGACCACCAAUCGUUUUCCGAAUCUGAUUCUGUGGAAAGAUGAAUCAUUAUUCGAGAAAUAUAAUGAAAUGCUAGAUCAGUCUGGGAAUUUAUUGGAUGGUGUUCUUUUUUAGGAGUUUUUUUUACAACAAAAAUUGUCAAAUUUAUAAAGAAUUUUAACAUGGUUAGUUUUUGUGUCUGCAAAUUUUCACAAAAUCUAAUUAUAGCUAUUUUUCUUGUU